rnacentral:piRNA from 1 species
UAUGUUAUGUUAUGUUAUGUU